GAGUUUGACGUGGCUCAGGACGAACGCUGGCGGCGUGCCUAACACAUGCAAGUUGAGCGGAGAUAUGGAGAGCUUGCUCCUUUGACGUUAGCGGCGGACGGGUGAGUAACACGUGGGCAACCUACCCUAUAGUUUGGGAUAACUCCGGGAAACCGGGGCUAAUACCGAAUAAUUUAUUUCACUUCAUGGUGGAAUACUGAAAGACGGUUUCGGCUGUCGCUAUAGGAUGGGCCCGCGGCGCAUUAGCUAGUUGGUGAGGUAACGCUCACCAAGGCGACGAUGCGUAGCCGACCUGAGAGGGUGAUCGGCCACACUGGGACUGAGA
rnacentral:rRNA from 1 species